AGUUUUAGGGGAUUCAUKUAAAAUAUAACCUGCCCACUGUAUAGUAUAAAUGGCCGCGGUACUCUGACCGUGCUAAGGUAGCGCAAUCAAUUGGCUUUUAAAUGAGGUCAUGUAUGAAUGGAAUAACGGAAUUUAGCUGUCUCUUUAAUUAAUUUAUUGAAGUUACUAUGUAGGUGAAAAAGCCUACGUUUAGAAAAAGGACGAGAAGACCCUUAGACCUUAUCUUAAAUUUAGGAAAUAUACCAUUUUCUUAAAGCAGUUUUGUUGGGGCAACAUAGGAACAUUUUAAAACUUCCUUAAACGAAUUUACCGAUAGUUAUAAAAAUGAGUAAGGUACCUUAGGGAUAACAGCAAAAUAUUAUAAAUGAGUUUGUGACCUCGAUGUUGGACUAGAAAACUAAAUGGUUAGCCACUCUUUAGUAAAGUUCUGUUCGAACUGUGAUUUUCU
rnacentral:rRNA from 1 species